UCCCAUCGCCGAAGCCCAACCUGAAGAGUCCGGGGCUCUGAUUGAGACCGCGUGUGAAGAUGAAGGUGUCCCGAUGCCGAAGUCGAGGAGAACCAGCCUGAGAACCAAACGGUUCCAGUUCUUCAACGUCUGAAGCUGAGGUGGUGACGAUCCGGAGAUCAUCCAAUCACACGCCGACUUUUCCAACAUCAAAAUAACAAUAAAGUGCCUUCAUGAA